rnacentral:pre_miRNA from 1 species
AAUAAACGAAUUUCAAUGUUUUUUUAAAUAUUUGAGUCUUCAUCUUAUUUAAAUUUUUUUAUAAUUAAUAUAUUUAUUGUUACUAUAUAAUAAAAUAUGAAUAGUACUUUACGUGUGAUUAAUUUUUUUCAACUUUUUAAUAAAUUUUUCAAAUAAGACGGAUAGUCAAACGCUCAACAUAAGAAAUCCAG